UACGUAGGGUGCGAGCGUUGUCCGGAAUUAUUGGGCGUAAAGGGCUCGUAGGCGGUCUGUCGCGUCGAAAGUGAAAACCCAGGGCUUAACCCUGGGCCUGCUUCCGAUACGGGCAGACUAGAGGUAUGCAGGGGAGAACGGAAUUCCUGGUGUAGCGGUGGAAUGCGCAGAUAUCAGGAGGAACACCAAUAGCGAAGGCAGCUCGCUGGGACGUUACUGACACUGAGGCGCGAAAGCGUGGGGAGCGAACAGG
rnacentral:rRNA from 1 species